AGCUUCCUGUUUUGAAAGCAAGGCCUUUAUGACUUGUAUCUUGUGUUGACCUCCUGUCUCAUCCUGUGACUUAGAAUGCCUUAACCAUCUGGGAAUGCAGCCCCGUAGGUUUCAGCUUCAUUU